rnacentral:rRNA from 1 species
CCUANGGGGGGCAGCAACUGGGAAUCGUGCGCAAUGGGCGAAAGCCUGACGCCGCGACGCCGCGUGAAGGAUGAAGGCCUUCGGGUCGUAAACUUCUUUUGUUUUAACUGAAAGGUUAUUAAGAAUAAGCACCUGCUAACUCUGUGCCAGCAGCCGCGGUAAUACAGAGGGUGCAAGCGUUAUCCGGAUUUAUUGGGCGUAAAGCGUUUCGUAGGUGGUUUGGAAAGUUACACUUUAAAGCCUGGGGCUUAACCUCAGAAAGGGGUGUAAUACUGCCAGACUUGAAUUAUCUCGGGGUUUAUCGGAACUGUCGGUGUAGGGGUGAAAUCCGUUGAUAUCGACAGGAACACCAAGGGCGAAGGCGGAUAACUAGGGAUAUAUUGACACUGAGGAACGACAGCUAGGGGAGCGAAAGGGAUUAGAUACCCGGNUANUC